rnacentral:rRNA from 1 species
GUGCCAGCAGCUGCGGUAAUACGUAGGGCGCAAGCGUUGUCCGGAAUUAUUGGGCGUAAAGAGCUCGUAGGCGGUCUGUCGCGUCUGGUGUGAAAACCCAUGGCUCAACCAUGGGCUUGCAUCGGGUACGGGCAGACUAGAGUGCGGUAGGGGAGACUGGAAUUCCUGGUGUAGCGGUGGAAUGCGCAGAUAUCAGGAGGAACACCGAUGG